AGGGCACCACCAGGAGUGGAGCCUGCGGCUUAAUUUGACUCAACACGGGGAAACCUACCCGGCCUGGACACUGGAAGGAUUGACAGAUUGAGAGCUCUUUCUUGAUUCAGUGGGUGGUGGUGCAUGGCCGUUCUUAGUUGGUGGAGCGAUUUGUCUGGUUAAUUCCGAUAACGAACGAGACUCUAGCCUAUUAAAUAGGCUCUCGGCUUUUAAACGCCGGGAGGACUUCUUAGAGGGACAGGUGGCGGUUCAGCCGCACGAAGGAGGGCAAUAACAGGUCUGUGAUGCCCUUUGUUGUCCGGGGCCGCACGCGCGCUACACUGAAGAGAUCAGCGUGCUUUACGUUCCUGCUCCGACCGGAGUGGGGAACCCAGUGAACCUUCUUCGUGAUUGGGAUAGAAGAUUGUAAUUAUUCUUCUUGAACGAGGAAUUCCCAGUAAAUGCGAGUCAUAAGCUCGCGUUGAUUACAUCCCUGCCCUUUGUACACACCGCCCGUCGCUACUACCGAUAGAACAAUUU
rnacentral:rRNA from 1 species